UACGGAGGAUCCAAGCGUUAUCCGGAUUCACUGGGUUUAAAGGGUGCGUAGGUGGAAUGACAAGUCAGUGGUGAAAACCUGCAGCUUAACUGUAGAACUGCCAUUGAUACUGUUAUUCUUGAGUACAUUUGAUGUGAGUGGAAUGUGUCGUGUAGCGGUGAAAUGCUUAGAUAUGACACAGAACACCAAUUGCGAAGGCAGCUCACAAAACUGUAACUGACACUGAGGCACGAAAGCGUGGGGGAUCAAAACAGG
rnacentral:rRNA from 1 species